UAUUUGAGGCUGAUUGCUCUGCGGUUGGCUUAGAACAUAUGUUCGGGGUUGAUAGUUCUUCUGAUAUCCCGAAUACUGGCCCUGGUUGUUCUGCGCCGGAUCAACUUGUUUGUCCUGCUUAGGCCAGAAAAGUUGUGGAUUGUUCCUUAUGUUAGGGUUUGGGUGAUAAUUCUUCAGCUGCCACCGUUGUCCAUUUACGUAACUCACUUCCUGCUGAUCGUCUCCU
rnacentral:lncRNA from 1 species